rnacentral:lncRNA from 1 species
GUGGCUAUAAAUUGGCUUGGGCACUGGAUGUCCGAGGUAUUCAGAUCGAGUUUCUAAUUUCUCUCAGUUGCUCUCCUUUCUUUCUUACAACCUAUCUUAGUUUUAGAACAAAAUUUUGGAAUUUAGGACAAAGCCUUAUCUGAUCCUAACAAAGGUUGUGAGGGUCCUAAAGAAGGAAAAUUAGAAGUUCAGAGAAGAUUCUAAGAGGGUGAGAUCAGGUUCUUGA